AGUCGACGGUGAUCUUGGAGCUUGCUCCGGGUGAGCAGUGGCGAACGGGUGAGUAACACGUGAGUAACCUGCCCCAGACUCUGGAAUAAGCGCUGGAAACGGCGUCUAAUACCGGAUAUGAGAUGCAACCGCAUGGUUAGUGUCUGGAAAGUUUUUCGGUCUGGGAUGGACUCGCGGCCUAUCAGCUUGUUGGUGAGGUAAUGGCUCACCAAGGCGAUGACGGGUAGCCGGCCUGAGAGGGCGAUCGGCCACACUGGGACUGAGACACGGCCCAGACUCCUACGGGAGGCAGCAGUGGGGAAUAUUGCACAAUGGGCGAAAGCCUGAUGCAGCGACGCCGCGUGAGGGAUGACGGCCUUCGGGUUGUAAACCUCUUUCAGCAGGGAAGAAGCGCAAGUGACGGUACCUGCAGAAGAAGCACCGGCUAACUACGUGCCAGCAGCCGCGGUAAUACGUAGGGUGCGAGCGUUGUCCGGAAUUAUUGGGCGUAAAGAGCUUGUAGGCGGUUUGUCGCGUCUGCUGUGAAAAUCCGGGGCUCAACCCCGGACUUGCAGUGGGUACGGGCAGACUAGAGUGUGGUAGGGGAGACUGGAAUUCCUGGUGUAGCGGUGAAAUGCGCAGAUAUCAGGAGGAACACCGAUGGCGAAGGCAGGUCUCUGGGCCACUACUGACGCUGAGAAGCGAAAGCAUGGGGAGCGAACAGGAUUAGAUACCCUGGUAGAAUCACUAGUGAAUUC
rnacentral:rRNA from 1 species